AAUAAAGUAAGCUAAAAUACAAGCUGUUGGGUUCAUACCCCAAAAAUGAAUUAUAAUUCCUUUGUUA
rnacentral:tRNA from 1 species